rnacentral:rRNA from 1 species
GACGGAUCCCCUAGCUGUUUCCUCGAGAAGGAGGAAUCAGCCACAUCGGGGACGUGAGACAGCGGGCCCCAGAGUUCGCUAACGGGUAGUCAGCAGUGUGGGAAUAUGGCACAAAUGGGGGGAAAGCCCCUGGAUGCAGCCAGUGCCGCGUGUGUGAAGAAGGCCACUAGGGUUGUAAAGCACUUUUCAGCGAGGAGGAAAGGUUUAGUAGCGUAAUACCGUGCUAGCUGGGACGUGACUCGCAGAAGAAGGACCGGCUAACUCCGUGCCAGCAGCCGCGGUAAUACGGAGGGUCCGAGCGUUAAUCGGAAGUUACUGGGCGUAAAGCGUGCGCAGGCGGUUUGCGUAAGUCAGAGUGUGAAAGCCCACGGGCUUAACACUGGGAAUUGCAUUUGUAAACUGGCAAUAACUAGAGUCUUGUAGAGGGGGGUAGAAUUUCAGGUGUAGCGGUGAAAUGCGUAGAGAGCCGAAGGAAUACCGGUGGCGAAGGCAGGCACCCCAUGGACAAAGACUGACGCUGCAGGCAGCGAAAGCGUGGGGAGCAAACAGGAUUAGAUACGCUGGUAGUCCACGCCGUAAACGAUGUGCGUACGUCGGAAUUUGGUCUUCUUUGAAGAUCUGGGUUCUCAGAGCUAACGCAUUAAGUAUGACCUGCCUGGGGAGUAGCGGCCGCAAGG